AGGCAGCAGUGAGGAAUAUUGGUCAAUGGCCGGAAGGCUGAACCAACCAAAGUCGCGUGAGGGAAUAAGGCCCUACGGGUCGUAAACCUCUUUUGCCAGGGAGCAAUGCCGUCCACGUGUGGACGGAAGGAGAGUACCUGGAGAAAAAGCAUCGGCUAACUCCGUGCCAGCAGCCGCGGUAAUACGGAGGAUGCGAGCGUUAUCCGGAUUUAUUGGGUUUAAAGGGUGCGUAGGCGGCCUGCCAAGUCAGCGGUAAAAUUGCGGGGCUCAACCCCGUACAGCCGUUGAAACUGCCGGGCUCGAGUGGGCGAGAAGUAUGCGGAAUGCGUGGUGUAGCGGUGAAAUGCAUAGAUAUCACGCAGAACCCCGAUUGCGAAGGCAGCAUACCGGCGCCCGACUGACGCUGAGGCACGAAAGUGCGGGGAUCAAACAGGAUUAGAUACCCUGGUAGUCCGCACAGUAAACGAUGAAUGCUAGCUGUCCGGGGGGAUUGACCCCUGGGUGGCACAGCGAAAGCGUUAAGCAUUCCACCUGGGGAGUACGCCGGCAACGGUGAAACUCAAAGGAAUUGACGGGGGCCCGCACAAGCGGAGGAACAUGUGGUUUAAUUCGAUGAUACGCGAGGAACCUUACCCGGGCUCAAACGGGAGACGGCAGGGGCAGAGACGCCCCUUUCCCUCGGGACGUCUUCCGAGGUGCUGCAUGGUUGUCGUCAGCUCGUGCCGUGAGGUGUCGGCUUAAGUGCCAUAACGAGCGCAACCCCCGCGUGCAGUUGCCAGCAGGAAAGGCUGGGGACUCUGCACGGACUGCCGGCGCAAGCCGCGAGGAAGGCGGGGAUGACGUCAAAUCAGCACGGCCCUUACGUCCGGGGCGACACACGUGUUACAAUGGGGGGUACAGCGGGAAGCCAGGCGGCGACGCCGAGCGGAACCCGAAAGCCCCUCUCAGUUCGGAUCGGAGUCUGCAACCCGACUCCGUGAAGCUGGAUUCGCUAGUAAUCGCGCAUCAGCCAUGGCGCGGUGAAUACGUUCCCGGGCCUUGCACUCACCGCCCGUCAAG
rnacentral:rRNA from 1 species